rnacentral:rRNA from 1 species
GACGUAGGUGGCGAACGUUAUCCGGAAUUAUUGGGCGUAAAGGGUGCGUAGGUGGCCUAAAAAGUUUGAUGUGAAAGCUCAGGGCUUAACCCUGAAAUGGCAUUGAAUACUGUUGGGCUGGAGGUUUGGAGGGGGGACUGGAAUUCUUGGUGUAGCAGUGAAAUGCGUAGAUAUCAAGAGGAACACCAGUGGCGAAGGCGAGUCCCUGGACAACACCUGACACUGAGGCACGAAAGCCGGGGGAGCAAACAGG